GUCGUUCGCCUUCUAGUAAUCCAAGAAUUUCACCUCUGACACUAGAAUUCGAAUACCCCCAACUGUCCCUCUUCAUCAUUCCGCCAACGCGCAAACCAACAAAAUACCGCCAACGGCCUAUCUCAUCAUCCCAUACUAUCAUAUUCCAAUAUCAACCUUUGCUUGAAACACCCUAAUUUUUUUACAGUGAAAGAGGCACCUCUUCAGAAGUGCCAGACUGGCAGCGCGCGGCUCGCUGCUCGACGGGCAUUCGCCCCCCGACGGACCCGCGCGCACGCCACACGUUCGACUACGAGCUUUUUAACUGCAACAACUUUAGUAUACGCUAUUGGAGCUGGAAUUACCGCGGCUGCUGGCACCAGACUUGCCCUCCAAUUGAUCCUCGAUGGGGGUUUUAAAUCGCUCUCAUUUCAGUCGAGAUACGCACAGCGCACCUCACUGCUAUUUCUCGUCACUACUUCGUUCUGUAAACUUGCAGUAAUUUACGCGCCUGCUGCCUUCCUUGGAUGUGGUAGCCGUCUCUCAGGCUCCCUCUCCGGACUCGAACCCUAAUUCCCCGUCACCCGUAACGGUCACGGGAGGCCAAUACCCUCCCGUCGACAACUGAUGGGGCUGAAACUUGAAUGAUUCAUCGCCGCCCGAGGGCUAUGCGAUUCGCUCAAUUACUAUGACUCACCGAAACAAGGCCCGAGAGCCUACUGGUUUAGGUCUAAUAAGUGCGGCCCUCCCACAAAAGUCGGGCCUCCAAGCACGUAUUGAUUCUAGAUUUGCCACAUGUAUCCGUCUACACAACGCACAAUCAUGGGAAUUAUAACAGAUAUAAUGAGCCGUUCGCAGUUUCGCUGUAUUACCAACUAAUACUAUCGCAUGCAUGGCUUAAUCUUUAAGACAAGCGUAUGACCGCUGUCAGGAUCAAACAGAGUGCUGUUCGUCUGUGGGGGUGGAGUCGCCCGCAGCGCCUGUGUCUUCUGCUCGGGCCUCGUUCUUGCGAUCAUGCUGAUGAUCAUGUCUCCUGCUCUGCCUCGCGGCAUCGCCCUCAACACCACCACCAGCAACAACAACAACAUCGCCCAAGCAACACAGCGCGCUCGACCGACCCACAUCGCCACUUCGCACAACCGACUCUCGUUCGAGACCAAGACAACCUGUCGUCUCUUCACCACUCUAUCACCCCGCACGCCAGCUCGCCGACACAGCGCCAAGCCCGCACGCGGUGCAAUGCGAGGCACACGCAACGACCCCUCUUGCUUCCUGCCUCUUGCCCGCUGCGCUCGCUCGUCGCCCGCCCCCGAGAGAGCCGACCACCAACCAACACCGCAAGCAAACUCGAACAAGCCGCAAGAGCACGCCGCCGCGCCUCUCCUCGCGCCAUAGAUCGCAACACACUGCUAGGAAACACAGCCUAACAACAUGAAACGGUUCCCAAGCCGCCCGAGCCCGACACUCCGCAAUCGCCGCUGCACACAAAGCGCAGCCGCUCUCCGAGCCGCUCGAUCAACGCCUCAGCCGCACCACACGCCAAGUCCAGCGAGACCCACGGCCUCGCCGCCCCAAGUGUGACGGAUGCCUCCAAGCGAAACCAUGGAGACCGCAGCUCGCUCCCCUGCUCGCUCCUCUUCCUCUCCUCCCUCCUGCGAGCAAGAGCAAGGACAGCGAGACGAACAAGCAGACGAACCAGCUCCGCGCUUCGCUCCCCUGCUGACGUCAUGCGCCGCCGGGAGCCGGACAAGAGCCGGCCGCGCCGAGCAACAGCGAACUUCGCACCGAGCGGAGGGGGGAUAACCGACCCGCCCGAUGCGACC
rnacentral:rRNA from 1 species